rnacentral:lncRNA from 10 species
UUUUUAGGUUCCAAGGAUACUUCCUAACCUGCUUUUCAAUCACUGUUUCCAUGGAACAGGGAGCUAUCCGAAUCAACUCAGUGUAACAUGGUGGAAAUCAAGCCAUUGUUGUGGCUACCUGGAACGGGCAGGAAAGAAAAAUGCAGAUAAGAAAAUUAAAACCACAGACUCCUGGGCAGCGAACAAGAGCCUUCUGAUCCUAAUUCGAUCUGGAGUUAAGAAUGAAGGGGAUUUCUGUAGCAGUUUCUUUUGCAUAGCAGAGCUCCGACUUUUCCAGCAACAGCGUGUCCCUGGAAGCUACACAAAGUCCUCUUUGAUUGCCUGUGAUCAAAGCCACGAAGGCUCUCCUGCAACAUCUUAGCUUCAGAAAGCCAGGAAAAUCAGAAUGCUGAGAGUAUAUUAAUAAUUCCUAAACAUAUUUUUAAGGUUCUUCAGGCCUGUCUCAGAGCUAUGGAGGAUGCAGCAAAAGGGAUGCCUUUGAUCUGCUGUCUCUGGAUGCACAAGGAGCUCAGAGAAACAACCAGGACACAGAACAAAACAAAGCAUGGAGCUCUAAUUUAGGGGUUUCAGCUAAGCGAGUCACUCAGCACCAGCACUGCACAGGAGUUCUUACAGCUUCCUUUAUGAGAAAGAUUUGUUCUUCUGUUUAUAGGGUAUCAGAGCCAGGAGGGUGGCUGACUCUGAUGAUAGAACAAGAGCCAAAUAUGCUCCUGAUGCUCCAGUAGAGUGGUCUUCAGGUGAUCGAGAUUCCGAGCUCCCAAACCAAGGCAAGAAUAAGGAAACUGGAACAGGAGGGCAUGCUGGGCUCCAGCCUCCCGUGACAGUGAAACAUUGCCUUAGAAUGACUGUUGUUAAUACAAUUGAGGAAAUAUAACACGUAAUCUUGUGAUUAAGUUAUACACAAUUUGAUUUAAAUUUAGUUCCUGGCAGUUGCUAGGUUUCACUCUGGCAUACUCUCUCAGUGUGGAAGCUGCUGAUUCAGAAAGAGAUGUUCCAAAGCUCAUGUAUUUCCUGGACACAUCCAAGUACUGAAUAAAAUGCUGGUUAAAUAAAUGAGUUAAUUUUCCAAGAAAGACACCAAUUACUUUUAGAUUCUUUUGCUUUCUUAAGCAGAUGUGUACACAUUCGGAAACAUAAUUGGAGGGAGGAUAGAAUGGGGGAAAACAUGGAACUGCUGGGAGCUCAGUCAGAGACUGAAGAUGAUGCAGAGACUUAUUGAGAGGACCACAUUGGGUGCCUGGAAACUGGAAGAACAAGACACUUGGACUCCUAUUUUUUCACAAGUUGGUAGGAUGGGGACAGAAGCAUGGGAGGUGAAAAC